UUAUUCACACAACAACCUAUUAAGGUAAAAAUUAUUUAAAACUCAUAUGAUUUCUCACAUAAAUCACAAAAAACAAAUUAAGAGGAAUUCUGCCGAAUAAUGAACAAUAGAUAUUAGUCUAUGAUUUUUUUUUUUUUGAGAACAAGAUUAGCCUAUAAGAGUUUGUAAGAUUCUAGAGUCCUAGUAGUAGUAGGGGUCGUAAUAUACCAGAGUCUGUCUUUUGCUAGAGUUAGGGGGUGUGCAAGGGAGCCGAGAAACCGCUACAACCGACCGGAGCCGAGAAACCGCACCGCACCUGAAGCCAACCGCAGGAGCCGAGGCUGGCAAGCGGAGACUAGUAGUCUUUCCAACGCCGAUGCGGUGAUGCAAUCGGAAAUCAAUUCCGAUUACCGAUAUUUGUACCGAACCGAUAUGUUAAUGCUCCAGUAAAAAUAGAUUGUUUUGUGCUAGAGCUCUGUUUGGAUCCUUUAGAUUUGGAUUUGGAUUUGAGGGGGCCCAAAUCCAAAUCCUUUGUUUAGGUAAGUUAAAAGAAAUGGAUUUGGAUUUGGUCCCAAAUCUAGGCUCAAAUCCAUGGAUUUCAAAUACCCUCAUACACGGUGGAAUUUGAAAUCCUCUCACGCAAAGCUCGCGUCUUCUCUACCUUAAGCUGCGACAACAACGUUGAAGCUGCAAUCACCAUGGUGUUCAGAACGUAAAAAAGAAGCUGAAUCAGCUUGUUUGGUUAUGCAAGCGAAGCUGGAAUUAGAAGAGUCUACACAGCGGAAGAACUUGAUACAGUCUGAGAUUGAUGGACUUCUUAUAAAGAUCAAACAGUCCGACCAAGACCGUUUGAAGUCCGAAGAAGAAAUUAAGCAACUUCAAGAACAGGCUAAGCAACAUCUAGAAGAGGCUAGCAGGGGUAUGGAGGAGCUUGAGAGAUACAGGAAAUGCCUUUUAGAAGCCUUUGAAAACUUUAAAUUUGAAAAUUUGGCCUAAUCUCUUUUUCUCUUUAAUUUAUUUAACUACUUAUUUCACCUUCUUUUCUUACUGUUCAAAGUAAAAUUUUUGCUAUUACUAUGUCUUUUAUGUAAUUUUUAACUUCAUUUGUGUUUUUGACUUGUGUGUUAACACACUGAGUAUUGAAUAA